rnacentral:miRNA from 1 species
UCCAAGUGAACUUUUUGGCUAA